AUGAACGCUGGCGACGUGGAUAAGGCAUGCAAGUCGAGUGGGUUUAGACCCACGGCAAACGAGGUAGUAACACGUAGGUACGUACCCGGAAGUCACGCAUAACCGGCCGAAAGGUCGGAUAAUACGUGAUGGUCUCGUAAGAGUAAAGAUUUAUCGCUUCCGGAGCGGCCUGCGGGAUAUCAGCUAGUUGGUAGGGUAAUGGCCUACCAAGGCGAUGACGUCUAGGGGAGGUGAGAGCCUGACCCCCACCGAUGGUACUGAGAAACGGACCAUACACCUACGGGUGGCCGCAGUCGAGAAUCUUCCACAAUGGACGAAAGUCUGAUGGAGCGACGUCGCGUGAAGGAUGAAGCACUUCGGUGCGUAAACUUCUUUUAUGAGGGAAGAAGCCGGUUUACCGGUGUGACGGUACCUCAUGAAUAAGGGGUUGCUAAACUCGU
rnacentral:rRNA from 1 species